GAUGAAGAACGUAGCGAAAUACGAUAAUUAAUGUGAAUUGCAGAAUUCCGUGAAUCAUCGAGUCUUUGAACGCACAUUGCGCCUCAUGGCAUUCCGUGAGGCAUGCCCAUCUCAGCGUUAGAAAAUAUUCUCAAAUUUUAGUUUUGUGCUAAAAUUUGGAUCAUGUCAAGGAAGCUAUUACUAUUAUUGUGAUCGCUCUUUGGAAAUUGAUAGGUCUUUGAGUUGCUACUCAUAGAACGUGAUGAAUCUUUCUUCGUUCUAUUGUAAUUCACUCUGGUAGUCCUAAAACUUGUAUGCCUGUGGCAUAUCUUGUAAUUUGACCUGAGAUUGGGUAGGGAUACCCGCUGAACUUAAGCAUAUCAUAAGCGGAGGA
rnacentral:misc_RNA from 1 species